CAAUCUAUGUAAUAAAUUGUUUGAGUUAUUUUAUUUUGUGAAAGAAUAUUUAGUAGUAGAUUGGAUGUAGCUGCAUCAAGAUUCAUAUUUUUUAAUGAAAACAAAAAAAAUGGGUCCAACGUGUGUUUGAAAAGUAAGGGUUUUUGUUUAUAUUGCAAGCAUGGAAUAAAGUAGUUGAGAUUUGUUUGGGUUGAUAGACCAGGCUAUAUAAUUUUCUAUAUGACAACUUCAUUCUAGCUUCCUAUUCUUCCACACCGACUAUUCGACUUUCUUAGAAACAAGAAAACUAGCUCACAAGUAUGUAUUAUAUACUUUCGAGACACUACAUUGUCUUUUGUUCAUGAUUUUUUUGUUUUCUGUAUUGAACUCCGAUUUCUUGUAAUGGCUAAGUGGGAUACUUUGUCCACCAGAAACCUGGUGUAAGAAGUAGCACACAUUGAAAAUGGGUCGCAUCCUAGAAAUUGCAUAUCUCUUCUCCAUUUAAUUGUAAGUCUCUAAACUAAAUCACAAGCAUUAUUUGUUUAUUUGUUAGCAAACGAGGACUGAAAAUAGGAUGUGGUUGUUUUGGUGGUUUUAUCGGUUAUCCUUGCAAGGUACAAAGUCAUUGCAAUAAGUUAUAGGAAAGUUUGGCUUUUACUAUUUGAUAUGUGAUUGAAAAAUUUGAGAUGGGUUUAAGUUGCAUAGCUAAGAUGUUAUUCAAAAAUUUUCAUCGGUCUGUAUUGUUAACUUAUCUCUAGUCAUUCUCAUAAGAUUCGAACAUACAUAGUGUGCCACUGUCGAUGCAUAGCCACUACAUAGUGAUGGCGAGCAUAUGUGUAAAUUUUGAAAGAGGUUUUAAAUUACAUAGCCCAUCAUAUUCAACAUAAAAGUGGGUGUGUUUUUAAGUAUAGGAAAUGAAAAUUCUAUUACUUAUUUCAUUUAUUCAUUGUUGUUGUUUAGAUUGCCCAUCAUGUGUUGCUGGCCAAGUGUUGGACCCAUUGAUACUUGAUGGUGGUCAUUGUAGCUAUGUUAGACCUCUACUUCUUGUUAUCAAAUUAUUAUAUGUUCAACUAUCCAAUUACACCGUAAGGAUGGAAAUAAACUUUACAAUAAAUUUUGUUGCUUCUUUGGAUGUGUCUCCCACUCAGGUGGAUCCUAUAGCAAGAUGGGGUGGAAAUGUUAUUGUAAAAAAUGUGGAUGCCCCUGUCCAUAUUUGUCAAAAAAUGUGGCUGCUUGGGUUUCAGUCAUGACCAUAUUUGUACUAUUUCUCCUUCCUAAGACAAAGAAUGUGCCAAUUGAAGAAAAUGAUAUUGGUUGUGGAAGAAAUAUUUGAGAGAUGUUGAUUUAACUGAUGAUGAAGCAGGAGAUGCCUAUCCCAAACAUGAAAGUGGGUGGUUUUGCAUUCAGAUCAACUAUACUUUUUUCUUCUAAUAGUUUGCCUUUCUUAACUCCAUGGUUUCAACUACAUAACCUUCUAGUUCUUAUUGCUAUUGCGAUACUCUUCUUCUUCUUCUUCUUCUUCUUCUUCUUCUUCUUCAUAUUGAUGUCUACUCAGAGGUUGUUGUGUAUAUACUAAGCCAAAGCCUCCUCCAGGAUUGUAAGCUGCUAAAAAUGGAUUGUAAGAUGCUAAAAAUAGCUCUAUCUAGUUAUGUGAAUUUUGAUUUUA